rnacentral:misc_RNA from 1 species
GAUGAAGAACGCAGCGAAUUGCGAUAAGUAAUGUGAAUUGCAGAUUUUCAGUGAAUCAUCGAAUCUUUGAACGCACAUUGCGCCCCUUGGUAUUCCGAGGGGCAUGCCUGUUCGAGCGUCAUUUCAACCCUCAAGCACAGCUUGGUCUUGGGCUUCGCCGCUAACCCGGCGGGUCUUAAAAUCAGUGGCGGUGCCGUCGGGCCCUGAGCGCAGUAAUCUCUCUCGCUAUAGGGUCCCGGCGGAUGCUGGCCAGUAACCCCCAAUUUUCUAUGGUUGACCUCGGAUCAGGUAGGGAUACCCGCUGAACUUAAGCAUAUCAAUAAGCGGAGGA